AUGGACCGUUGGGGGAGAAUCUCCAACCCUUCACCGCUAAGGAGCAUCUUCCUUUACAACCAACCUUCCCUGCAGCUCAUAUUCCCUUUGAGCUUGAGCUACAAGCAGCUCGGCGCUCGUAUACAGUUGCAGUCUGGGUUGGCUCUGCCUAUAUACCACCCACCUCCGCGCAAGUGUUCAAGAGACAUCUCACUCACAGAUAAACGCAUCCCGUUGUAUGUCUCCACAGUAGCAAUGGAGAUGGAAAGGUCACUAUGGCUCGCGGUGCUGAUCCCUGCGAUCAUGGUGUCCUUCUACGGCGAGGCUGCCAUGGCGGACGCCCAGACAUCGCCGGACACAAACGUGCUGUGCGUCAGCAAGUGCGGGACGUGCCCGACGGUAUGUACCACGCCGCCGCCGCCGCCGGCGGCGGGCGGCGAUGGCAGCGGCUACUCCUCGCCGUCGCCUCCGCGCUCUAUGACGACUCAGCCAUCUCCAGCGGCCGUGCCGCAGCCGCAGGCCAAGGGAGGGAGCCCCAGCGGGUACUACUACUUCUUCACCGCUGGGAGCGGCCGGAGCUGCGCCACCUCCAGCGUUCGUUACACGCUACUGCUCCUGGCGCUUCUUCCCAUCGUCGCUGUUUAG
rnacentral:rRNA from 1 species